AGAGUGAUUUGCAUAUGAUUUGCAUGUGGCGCGGCGGCGCGGAGCCAUGUCGGCGGGAGCCCGGCACGGCGGGGCCCCGCGGGGCAGGGCCGGGGCCCGGCACGGCGGAGAGAAGCAGUGCUCCUGGGCUUCCUACAUGACCAACUCCCCGACACUGAUCGUGAUGAUCGGCCUGCCCGCCCGCGGCAAGACCUACGUGUCCAAGAAGCUCACCCGCUACCUCAACUGGAUCGGGGUGCCCACCAAAGUGUUUAAUUUAGGGGUGUAUCGCCGGGAAGCGGUGAAGUCCUACAAGUCCUACGACUUCUUCAGGCACGAUAACAAAGAAGCCAUGGAAAUCCGCAAACAAUGUGCCUUAGUGGCUCUAGAAGACGUGAAGGCUUAUCUCUUGGAGGAGUGCGGGCAGAUAGCUGUGUUUGAUGCGACCAACACAACUCGAGAAAGACGGGACUUGAUCUUAAGUUUUGCAAAGGAAAACGCUUUCAAGGUGUUUUUUGUGGAGUCCGUCUGUGAUGAUCCAGAAGUCAUUGCUGCCAAUAUCCUGGAGGUGAAAGUUUCCAGCCCCGACUACCCUGAGAGGAACAGGGAGAACGUGAUGGAUGAUUUCCUGAAGAGGAUUGAGUGCUACAAGGUCACUUACCAGCCUCUUGAUCCUGAUGUCUAUGACAAAGAUCUUUCCUUCAUUAAAGUGAUCAAUGUGGGACAGCGGUUCCUAGUAAACAGAGUCCAGGAUUACAUCCAGAGUAAAAUCGUCUAUUACCUAAUGAACAUUCAUGUCCAGCCACGCACCAUCUACCUUUGCCGACAUGGUGAGAGUGAAUAUAAUCUUGUUGGCAAGAUUGGUGGGGAUUCUGGUCUGUCACCACGUGGGAAGCAGUUUGCUCAGGCGCUGAAGAAGUUCAUCGAGGAGCAGGAAAUCGUAGAUCUGAAGGUGUGGACCAGCCAGCUGAAAAGGACGAUCCAGACGGCCGAGUCCCUGGGGGUCACCUACGAGCAGUGGAAGAUUCUCAACGAGAUUGAUGCUGGGGUAUGUGAAGAAAUGACCUAUGCAGAAAUUGAAGCCAAGUAUCCAGAUGAGUUUGCCUUGAGGGACCAAGAGAAAUACCUGUAUCGUUAUCCUGGAGGAGAGUCCUACCAGGACUUGGUCCAGCGCCUGGAGCCAGUAAUUAUGGAGCUAGAGCGGCAAGGCAACGUCCUGGUCAUCUCCCACCAGGCGGUUAUGAGGUGUCUGUUGGCUUAUUUUCUGGACAAGAAUGCAGAUGAGCUGCCCUACCUGCGCUGCCCCCUCCACACCAUCCUCAAGCUCACACCUGUUGCCUACGGUUGUAAAGUGGAGACCAUUACCCUGAACGUGGAAGCAGUGAACACCCACCGUGACAAACCCUCCCUGAACUCAGACAACUUUCCCACCAGCCAAACCCCUGUAAGGAUGAGAAGAAACAGCUUUACGCCGCGGGCCAGCGCGGACACGGUAAAGCGCCCACGACAUUACAGCCUUGGGAGCAAACCUCUCGACCCACUGGGACCUUUCCUGGCCCUGGAAGCUCGAGAUGGGGCCGACCAGCUGCAGCUACAAGUCGGUGUCCAGGUGGUACCUUCCCUAUGCCCUCCCUCCCCACCAUCACCUGUGGCUGUCUGGUGGUCCUCUCUGACACACAGACCCUUCCCAGGGCUUUAAUCACUAUCUCUGUUCCUGUGUGAAAAUCAUUCAGGAUUAUACCAACUUAAGAAAGGAAAAACCUCACAAAAACCUCCCCAAAAACUUCUGGUGCUAGAAGAUUUUAAAACUCAGGCUCCAUGCAGGCAGGUUUCCAUCAGUGCAACAAGGUUUUGGUAGGGUGACCAACUGGUUGAUAUGACCCACCAGUUGGUGGGUCAUAUCUUGCUUUCCAGCAAACCCCUGUCUGGAAAGAGUUACAAAUACCCUCUUUGUCCUUAUUUGGUGCUGCAGGGAAGUGUUGCUCUAACCCCAGAGCAACUGGGUUGGAAAUCUGUCCAUGGUUUUGUUGGUGCCCUUUUCCCCAUGUCAGCGGCUCAGUGGGCUCUUUGGGUGCCCAAAUUAAAGCAGUUUGGCUUUUGGUGCUUGGUGGUUUUAACCUUAGAAGCACGUAGGUCCUUAUCAGCACUGGAGGCAAAGCCCUGUUUGCUUUUUUGCUCAUUUAAAAUUGUUUCUCUGCUAAAUGAGUUUUUCUGUGCCUGGGGGAGCACAGCCGAGGGUGCUGCUGCCUGUCAGACCAGGCAGAGGGGAGAUGUGAGGGCUUGGCUGGGCUUCUUGUGCAGAAACAGCCAUCCUUGCCAAAGCUGUUUAAAGAUAAAAUGAUCUCAGAUUCUUAGGUAGUGGAUGUUUUCCAGGCUAUUCAGUGAGCCCAACUUCUUGUUCUCCUCCCUGUUAGCCAAGGAAGUGGCCAGAGAGUAAAGGAGGGGGCGAUGCAGCACAGCUGAACUCUGCUGCUGUUUCCAUGCUCAGUGAGGAACAUGAGACUUAAACAUUUCCAAAAUCCUGGUGCUCUGGAGGGAACUGAACCAGACCAGACUUUGCCCUGAGUGGGUUUGGCCCAAAGAGGGCCCUGACUGUCUCCAUGUCUGGAUUUGUGGGUGUCUCCAGCUGGGCAGCACAGGACAGGGAUCCCCACCCACUCCCUGUUAGCUGCUUUACCCUCUGGAAUCAUGAUGUUGAAGCACUGACAGCUCAGAAGGAGCAUUUAAUCCCUAGGGCUCUGGGUCUGUGCAGGGGGAGGGAAUGGUGCUGCCCUGGGACCUCUUGCCUGAAUGGAGUCCCUGAGAUGAGUGGCAGUGGAGGCUCAUGAUAGUCAGUGCCCUGUAUCAGCUCUGCUGUGACACAGACCUGCCCUGAGCUCCCCAGCGUGGCAUCGUGGGGUUGCUCCACUUCUCAUUUGCUUUGCUUCUUUUGCUGUUAUUCUUAAAUCUCCUUUAAAACGCACUAUGAGCUAUCCUGUGCUGUUUCUUUUUCCUUUGCAGCCUCAAGGGGGAAAUGCUUGCCUAGGAUGGCCACUCUAAUGGUGUAGAGGCUGGUGCUCUCAUCUGGGAUUUCCAAGCUGGGAAGAGCCCUGUGGACGGGACUCGAGCACCCUCGGAGCACAGUGAGCCACGCGCCCCUCAGCCAGUCCUCUCCUCUGAAAUGUGUUUUUAGGCUCUGUCUUUUCUUUCUGAAUGCUGAAAUGUCUGUCAAUGAGAUUAGAGAAAAUCGAUUAGGGAGAUUUUCCAACCUGCUUUUUUAGUACAUGUGAGCUGACAUAUCCCUUGUGUGGGCUUUGUGAGGUGUUAGUGUCCUGUGUCGUGGCAAAAUUAACUGCAGUGUCUGUGGGGACAAAAUGGUUAUCAGACCAAACCCCAGGUUUUUAUUUAACUGUUACCAUUUCCAAGUUCAAAUGCAGUUACUGUUAUUUAAGGAAAUAAAAGCUCCUAUGCUAGCAGCAGUGUAGCUGCCAGUGCUGUUGCACUUGAACUCAAGUCCUGCUUCAGCUUUGCACCCUCAUCUGAGCCUCAUCCUCAUGCUCGUUUUUCCUGGGUUUUGUGGAUGCUUUUAUCCAUGACAACAGAAACUCAGAGCAUGGCUUUGCUUAGUGUCUGGGAGUAGGGGGGCUGUGUGUGCAGGGCUUGCAAGAAGCAGAUGAUUUUUACCAGUUGUCUUUUUAAUGUGCCAAAUUUUAGGCCCCACAACAAGUUUUUAAACCUGCCUAGGAAUAAGCUGUGAAUGUUACUGAUGUAUAAUGCUGCCUUUUCAUAGAGUUUAAGCUGCUUUAGUAUUUAGUGCAUAGACAGUGAAACUCCUCUGCAGUGCAGCUCGUGCCAAGGUGUGGAAGCAAUACCCCAAAUUACUGGUUUUCUUCCCUCAGUCUUGACUGGUGUUUUGGCCAACUCCAUUUUACCACACUCCUCCUCCUCUUGCACUAAGGGCAUAAUGCUCAGGGUGGGUGAAGAAAUGGGUAAAGAAGCAGGAGACUGUUCUGGACCCACUGUUUCCAGUGACUCCAGGAAUGAUAUGAGCAACUUCUGAGAUCCAAGUUGCUUAUUUUAAACAUGCAAAUAAACGUUGGCCAUACCCUCAGUAGGGAUCUGUGCUUGAGAAACGUUGGCACCCUGACUGCAGAGGAGCUCAGCAGCCCCAAAGCCUGAGGUUUUUCUGGGGAUUUUGGGCUCAAACUCAGUUGUUUUAAACACUCCCAGAGCUUUAAUUUGAUGGAGAGGUCUGUGGGAAAUCCCAAGCCUUGAGGAUUUAUGUGGAGCAGGAGCAUGUGUUGACCUAAAGUAAUUGCACCACGGAGGGAGGAAAUAAAGUGGGUGAGAAACUGAGUUUUAUUAGUUUUGUUCCUCAGGCUGUUCCCACCAGGGAACAGAAAAAAAGAAGGGGUCAAAAAAAAAAAAGAAUGUUGAAGGAAGAGAUUUCUAGCCUGUUGUGUGGUGAUAGUGUCUGUCCCUCUCCAGCAACACUUCAAACGCACAAACCCAGCACGUCGGGCUGGCUGCUCCUGCUGAGGAACCUCCUGCUCUGCAGGGAAGCAGGAGUAGAAACCUCCUGUAGGAUGUUUACGCACAAUAUGCUGUGAUAACGUGCCAAGGUGUUAGUUACGUUUGUAUCAUUGAGUAGUUAACGGUUGUAAGGAGACAAAAUAUAUAUUUUUACCUGCCAGGAUUCAUGAAUGUAGCUCCUAAUGUGCUGUAAUGUUUUAACUCCCUGUGCCCAGUCAGUUCUGUGGUUCUGGAUCAUGGACAAUGGGUCCUUGUUCCUGCUGAGUGGGUCCUGGGAUGGAGCCUCUCUGCAGAAGGCAGCAUGUGUGCCUUGGUUCUUUAAUUAAAGCCUAGCUGGAGCCUUUUCAUCCCACGCUUUGUCGUUCAGAAGGUGUGAACGCGUGUCCAGAGCAGCAGCAGGUUUUGCCAUCAGCAUCAUUUCCCCACAGGUGGAUCAUACCUGACAUUCAGGUCCCGGGGUCCUGCCAAGCUCUCAGGGAGGCCAGGCUGGGGAUGCCAGCAAGCUCACAGAUCUCCCCAGCCUCAAACGGGUCCCUGUGCCAGGUAUUUCCUUGAAAUCACCUGAUUUCCUUGGCAUGGUGUGUGCAAAUGCCCCAGAAUAAACAACGAUUGCACAACGCACUGAGCUGAGGCUCCGCAGCAGCUCGUGCUGCCCGUCAGGCUGGAGCCACCAUCAUAGAAUCACAGGAUCUUAGGGGUUGGAAGGGACCUGGAAAGAUUAUCCAGUCCAACCCCCCUGCCAGAGCAGGAUCACCCACAGCACAUCACACAGGAAUGUGUUCAGUUGGGUUUGAAUGUCCCCGGCCAAGGAGACUCCACAACCUCUCUGGGCAGCCUGUCCAGGGCUCUGUCACCCUCACAGUGAAGAAGUUUUUUGGGCUGGGCAGGCAGAGGGGGGUUUGGAGGUGGGGAACUGGGUGUUUGGGAGUAUUGCACCACCAGUGGGGUUGUGUUUUGUUUUUUUUUAACUUUCCUGGCAUUCUCUCCAUUUCUGCUGGCAGAAGUGGUGGUGGCUGCUGUCACCUUCUCGGAGCAGUGGCAAGGCCACCUACAGGACCUGCCUUGCUGUCCCUGAGCUGCCGUCCAGGGGCUGGUUCCCCAUCGGUGCUGUGGGUCAUUUUAGAGAAAAAUGAUCACUCAGGCAAAGCCUGUUCAGUCUCUGUUGCCAGCAAUAGGGGGAAAUUGGCAAGGGAGGGAAAAGGUUUAAAACCAGGCCAGGUAGUUUGAGUUUGUGUACAUGGAGCGUGACGUUAGAGCUGCCACCUCUGUGUCCCUUCCUGGCAAGGGGGUGAUGAGGAAGCCAAGCCCUCAGCUGUGGCUGAGGAGCAGCUUUGGGAGGACAGACAUCACCACCAGCACUUCCAGGAACCGCCUGCCCUGGGAGGAAGGCUCAAACCAUCUUCCCAAGGGUGCUGGGCCAGUGCCACCUCCACCUCUCCUGCAGCUCCUUUUUCUCUCUGAACGCUGUUUGCAAACUGCAUCCCUCCAGUUAGUGUUUACUGAGGUGGAUAUUAAGGUCUACUUGUAAUUUUGCUCUGUUACUGCCUUAUUUUUUUUUUUUAGGUUUAAAAGAAAAUGCAAUGUUUGUAAACUUGUGCUGUGUGUUGUGUCCUCUGUGCACUUGAGCAUAAAUAUCCCAUCAGCAUUUAUUUACAAUAAAGAGAUUUAAAAACAUA